CUGCUGUUCACGGAGAAAGCAGUUUUGUUUGUGCUGGAAUGCGUAGCUUUACUUAGUGUAGUAAGGAGCUAAAGCUUGAAAGUGUUGCAGGAUGUGGGUAUAAGAUGAGGACACCGAGGCUGCAGACUCCGAUGCAGAGAGCGGUUUGUCCUCAGAAGAUGAGGGAGAUCUCCAGUGGCACAUCCUGGAGAAGCAGAGAGAUGAAGCCAAUCAGAGACUGCUGGAGUUGGAGGAAGCUUCCAGUCAGCUCCUGAAAGAGAUAAAACGUAAUGGAGAUCCAGCAGGU